GGAUGAACGCUGGCGGCGUGCCUAAUACAUGCAAGUCGAGCGAAUGGAUUAAGAGCUUGCUCUUAUGAAGUUAGCGGCGGACGGGUGAGUAACACGUGGGUAACCUGCCCAUAAGACUGGGAUAACUCCGGGAAACCGGGGCUAAUACCGGAUAACAUUUUGAACCGCAUGGUUCGAAAUUGAAAGGCGGCUUCGGCUGUCACUUAUGGAUGGACCCGCGUCGCAUUAGCUAGUUGGUGAGGUAACGGCUCACCAAGGCAACGAUGCGUAGCCGACCUGAGAGGGUGAUCGGCCACACUGGGACUGAGACACGGCCCAGACUCCUACGGGAGGCAGCAGUAGGGAAUCUUCCGCAAUGGACGAAAGUCUGACGGAGCAACGCCGCGUGAGUGAUGAAGGCUUUCGGGUCGUAAAACUCUGUUGUUAGGGAAGAACAAGUGCUAGUUGAAUAAGCUGGCACCUUGACGGUACCUAACCAGAAAGCCACGGCUAACUAC
rnacentral:rRNA from 3 species